rnacentral:lncRNA from 1 species
UCGCCAUCAUCGAGCAGUCCGUGUCCCCCGGCGGCGGCGCCUGGCUCGGCGGCCAGCUCUUCUCCGCCAUGGUCGUGCGCAAGCCGGCGCACCUCUUCCUCGACGAGCUCAACAUCGAGUACGACGAGCAGGAGGACUACGUCGUCAUCAAGCACGCCGCGCUCUUCACCUCCACGGUCAUGAGCCGCCUCCUCGCGCGCCCCAACGUCAAGCUCUUCAACGCCGUCGCCGUGGAGGACCUCAUCGUCAAGGAGGACCGCGUCGCCGGCGUCGUCACCAACUGGGCGCUCGUCUCCAUGAACCACGACACACAGUCCUGCAUGGACCCCAACGUCAUGGAGGCCAAGGUCGUGGUGAGCUCUUGCGGCCACGACGGGCCCUUCGGCGCCACCGGGGUCAAGCGGCUCCAGGACAUCGGCAUGAUC